rnacentral:RNase_P_RNA from 1 species
CGAGUAAGACAGACGGUCGCGUGGCGGCGGCGAAAGCCCCGUCAUGAGGAAAGUCCGGGCUCCAUAGGGCAAGGAUAACGGGUAACGCCCGCCGAAGGCGACUUCAGGAAAAGUGCAACAGAAAUAAACCGCAGAUUGUGGAUGCUUAAUGGGGUACUUGCGCAGUCGGGUAAUGGGGCCUUCGGCCCCAUUGCUUAAAUCGCGCUAACGGCCCCGUCGAGGGGCCGCGCGCGAUCACAGCGUGUCUGGCCCCUUGGACCAAACACGCUGUAAGGAUGGAAAGGCGAGGUAAGAGCUCACCCAUCGGCUGGAGACUGUCCGAUGCUGUAAACUCUAUCCGGAGCAACACCGUGGGAGGACAACAGAUCAUGCAACUGCCCCAUCGAGGGGCCGCGCAUGAUUUGAUUUUGUGCGUCCAAUGGCCGCACAAAAUCGAAGAUUGGCCCGAUCGUCCUCAAGGAGGUGGCUGGAGCGGCCCGGCAACAGGCCGCCUAGAUAGAUGACCGUCCAAUACAGAACCCGGCUUAUAGUCUUACUCGCAAA